UCAGUAUUUCCCUAAGACUAAUCAUACCUAGACAGGAAUUACGUACGGCGAAAAGUGGCCCCUACAUCAGUUUGUAUAAUAUUCAUAUUUCGUAUGACUUUACACCAACACAUGUAGGCGUUGACUAUUUUGAUAGAUGUCAAUUUUCCAUGUUGUUGUUUUUCGCGUCGCGACGUUGUGAUUUUUAAUUUUGUUUAAACAAUUUAAAUAUUCAAUUCAAUUCAAUCAUUCAAAUUAAAAUACGGUGCAUUGUACCAUGUGGAAAUAUGUUUUAUUAAGGACUGCCGAAGUAGGAGCGUAAGAGGCAACAAACGUUCAUUUUUCCGGUAUAAUUUUGUGCGCAGAGACCGUUUU